rnacentral:rRNA from 1 species
AUUGAACGCUGGCGGCAUGCCUUACACAUGCAAGUCGAACGGCAGCACGGGAGCAAUCCUGGUGGCGAGUGGCGAACGGGUGAGUAAAGUAUCGGAACGUACCUUUCAGUGGGGGAUAACGUAGCGAAAGUUACGCUAAUACCGCAUAUUCUGUGAGCAGGAAAGCAGGGGAUCGCAAGACCUUGCGCUGAUUGAGCGGCCGAUAUCAGAUUAGCUAGUUGGUGGGGUAAAGGCCUACCAAGGCGACGAUCUGUAGCGGGUCUGAGAGGAUGAUCCGCCACACUGGAACUGAGACACGGUCCAGACUCCUACGGGAGGCAGCAGUGGGGAAUUUUGGACAAUGGGGGCAACCCUGAUCCAGCCAUGCCGCGUGAGUGAAGAAGGCCUCGGUUGUAAGACUCUUUCGGUCCGGGACGGAAUACGCACGGGCGUAAUAUCCUGUGUGGAUGACGGUACCGG